rnacentral:rRNA from 1 species
GCCAACCUAACACAUGCCAAUGAGACGAAUUAAGGGGCAUUCUUCCUGGAUUCACGCCGGACCGGUGANUUAAACCGUAGGAAUCUGCCGUGGUAUGGGGAUGACGUCCGGAACGGGCCUAAUCCGCAUACGUCCCUGAGGGAAAUGGGGAUCUUCGGACCUCACGCUAUCAGAUGAGCCUAGUCGGAUUAGCUAUUGGUGGGUAAAGGCCUGACCAAGCGACGAGUCCGUGAUGGUCUGAGAGGAUGAUCAGUCACACUGGAAACUGAGACACGGUCCAGACUCCUACGGGAGGCACAAUGGGGAAUAUUGGACAAUGGGCGAAAGCCUGAUCCAGCCAUGCCGCGUGUUGAAGAAGGUCUUCGGAUUGUAAAGCACUGUAAGUUGGGAGGAAGGGCAGUAAGUUAAUACCUUGCUGUUUUGACGUUACCAACAGAAUAAGCACCGGCUAACUUCGUGCCAGCACCGCGGUAAUACGAAGGGUGCAAGCGUUAAUCGGAAUUACUGGGCGUAAAGCGCGCGUAGGUGGUUCAGCAAGUUGGAUGUGAAAUCCCCGGGCUCAACCUGGGAACUGCAUCCAAAACUACUGAGCUAGAGUACGGUAGAGGGUGGUGGAAUUUCCUGUGUAGCGGUGAAAUGCGUAGAUAUAGGAAGGAACACCAGUGGCGAAGGCGACCACCUGGACUGAUACUGACACUGAGGUGCGAAAGCGUGGGGAGCAAACAGGAUCAGAUACCCUGGUAGUCCACGCCGUAAACGAUGUCGACUAGCCGUUGGGAUCCUUGAGAUCUUAGUGGCGCAGCUAACGCGAUAAGUCGACCGCCUGGGGAGUACGCCCAAGGUU